ensembl:lncRNA PDXDC2P-NPIPB14P PDXDC2P-NPIPB14P readthrough, transcribed pseudogene
AAAAGUUUGAUGCUCAUUAUGUUUACAAAAGCACUGCAUUUUUUGAAAAGUGUCUCACUGUGCUAUUAGCUCAUUUCUUGAGAUGUGGUUCUUAGGAAAGAGAAGCCUUAGUAACUUAGUUUAGAGAUGGCUUGGGCACUCGGGAGAUUUUUUCAAUUUCCUGUGGCUAUGGAGUGCAGGAGAAUGAUGCCAUUAACUACCAGACCCUUGAGGUCAGCACAGCUCUGGCAUCUUCCUGCAGGCAGAACCGUAUACUCCUGAGGAUUUGAAUGCUGUCCUACUGCUGACUCAAAGGCUAAUCAAUGCAUGUGUUAAACUGCAUGGACAUUUAGCAGACAUGGUGAUCUGUAUAUAGCCAUGCCUUAUAGUCCACAGUGGAGCAUACAUUUCCUGAGAGCGUAAAUCAGCAUUCGCCUCCUCCUCCUCCUCUUCCUUCUCUUCUCCCUCUCUCCUUUCUCGUCUUCAGUAGUUAUUGAGCAUUCACCUCAGUGUCAGGCACCAUGAGUACUUUCAUGCAUCAUCUCAUUUGAUCCCUGCAACUUCACUAGAAUGUCAGUUCCACUGAUGACAGUGUAUUCAGAAUUAAUUUUCUUUAAGGAAAAAAAAAAGGAAUUUCUUGAGGGGCUUUCUACUGUCCAGUACUCAGUGAAUAUCUGUUGAAUUAAUAUACUCCAAUCCCAUGAGUUAGAUAUGAUUAGUGAUGAGGGACCUGGGAUUGAGACAUUAGUCUAAUGACACUACAUUCUAGACCCUGUUGCUAAGCACUUCUUGUAUUGCAUAUCAACUCAUUUACUCCUCACAGCAAUGUGAGAUACAUACUGUCCUCCCUGUUUUAUAAUUGAGGGAACUGAAGCAUAGACAGGUUACAUAGCUGGUGACUGGCAGAUGAAGUGACUUAUCCGUGGUCCUGCAGGUGAUGAGUGGCAGUACUGUGCUCUUAUCACCAGCUCUUGAGCGUGCUGCAUCCUCUCAUUUGUCGUUGGUCUCCCCUAGUGUUCGGUACUGUGCCUUGCACGUGUUUAUACUCAGUAGCUUUUGAAUGAAAGACAGACUUACAUUGCAAAUACAACAGAUUUCCGUGUCUUAUUAGAAACUGCUUUUCUUGAAUUACUACAUGUAACUUUUAAAUGAAAGAUUGGUGAAUAUUUCCAGAUGUUGAAAUACAAAAACAGGUGGCUGAACUUAGAAACCACCAAGUGGCAGGUGACUUUGCCUGACAUCCGUGUUCACAGACCUCCACAGCCCCUGGUGAAAACCACUUCUUCAUAUCCCAUGUCCGUCUAAUUACAUGUGUUAUUUUUUGUCAUUUGCAGAGUCAAUGGUUGCAGGAAAGUUUGAAGAAAGUGAAUUACAUCAAAAUCUUGGUAUGGUAUAUAAUUUCAUCUGUUUUCAAAAUACAACUUUUUUUGAACUUCAGCAACUUAGAAUGAUUUUAGAACUUUAGAAUGAUUUUCUCCACAUUUCAGUGGAAUUGUGGCAGCUCCAGUAAAAAACAAAACAAAAAACAAAAACAAAAAAAAA